GAGGAGCAGACAGCGGUGGCCAUCACCAGCGUCCAGCAGGCGGCGUUCGGCGACCACAACAUCCAGUACCAGUUCCGCACAGAGACAAAUGGAGGACAGGUGACAUACCGCGUAGUCCAGGUGACUGAUGGUCAGCUGGACGGCCAGGGCGACACAGCUGGCGCCGUCAGCGUCGUGUCCACCGCUGCCUUCGCGGGGGGGCAGCAGGCUGUGACCCAGGUGGGUGUGGACGGGGCAGCCCAGCGCCCGGGCCCCGCCGCUGCCUCUGUGCCCCCAGGUCCUGCAGCGCCCUUCCCGCUGGUAGGUGCCCUGCCACCUCUGGGUUGGGGGGGGGGGGAGUGGAGAGGGGACACUGGCUCUGCUCUUGGGGAGCCCCGGGGGUGGGGCAGGUGUCGCCCAGCGGAUGCUGCCUUCAGGCCUCAGGCUGCAUGGGGCCAGAUCCCUGUUGUGCACCGUGAAACCUGGGGACAGUGCUCUUGGAAUUUUUUUUUCCCGCAAAAUGGGAAUGAUGUGUCUUAAGAGGAAAGUUUCUUAGAGUGCAAAACGGAUUGGCUCAGCAAGUGAUCGCUGACCUCCCGCCAUGUUCCAGGGCUGUUUGAAACACAGGACAUAAUGCUACACGCAGAAGGAGUCCUUACUCCUGUUAAUUGCAGAGAAUGCAGUAAACCCCAAGCACAGCAAUGAGGGGACGGGAUGGAGGAACAGAGAAAGCUAAGGGUAGCCUCUGCCCUCCUACUCCCCAGGCUGUGAUCCAAAAUCCCUUCAGCAAUGGUGGCAGUCCGGCGGCCGAGGCUGUCAGCGGGGAGGCACGAUUUGCCUAUUUCCCAGCGUCCAGUGUGGGAGAUACUACGGCUGUGUCCGUACAGACCACAGACCAGAGCUUGCAGGCUGGAGGCCAGUUCUACGUCAUGAUGACGCCCCAGGAUGUGCUUCAGACGGGAACACAGAGGACGAUCGCCCCCCGGACACACCCUUACUCUCCAAAAAUUGAUGGAACCAGAACACCCCGAGAUGAGAGAAGAAGAGCCCAGCACAACGAAGUGGAGCGGAGGCGGAGGGACAAGAUCAACAACUGGAUCGUCCAGCUUUCGAAAAUCAUUCCAGACUGUAAUGCAGACAACAGCAAGACGGGAGCGAGUAAAGGAGGGAUCCUGUCCAAGGCCUGCGAUUACAUCCGGGAGUUGCGCCAGACCAACCAGCGCAUGCAGGAGACCUUCAAAGAGGCCGAGCGGCUGCAGAUGGACAACGAGCUCCUGAGGCAGCAGAUCGAGGAGCUGAAGAAUGAGAACGCCCUGCUUCGAGCCCAGCUGCAGCAGCACAACCUGGAGAUGGUGGGCGAGGGCACCCGGCAGUGACGCCCGCCACCACCACGCAGCCGCCGCCGCCCACACCGGCCUCUGCUGCCCCCUUCCCCAGCCCUUAGCACAGAGAGGGACACAUGCCCCUCCCCCAGCUGCGUUUUUUUAUAGUAGAUUUUUAACAAAAAACGGGGAGAAAUAAUGCAUUUCUGUGGAUACAGUGCCCACCGCCCUCCUCCACUUGGAAACGGUAUCCUCCCUCCCCAUCCGUCUGUCUGUCGCCCUUCUCCUGGCCCUCACUAAGCCCCGGCACUUCUAGUGGUCUCACCUGGAGGCAAGAGGGAGGGGACAGAGGCCCUGCCACGUCCCGCUGCCUCCUGCUCUCUGGAGGUACUGAGACAGGGUGCUGAUGGGAAGGAGGGGAGCCUUUGGGGGGCCACCCGGGGCCUGGACCUAGCAGGGAGGCCACGUCCCACCCCACCUCUUGUUUCUGGGUCCCUGCUCCCCUUUGGGUGUGUGUGUGUGUGUUUUAAUUUUCUUUAUGGAAAAAUUGACAAAAAAAAAUAGAGAGAGAGAGAGGUAUUUAACUGCAAUAAACUGGCCCCAUGUGGCCCCCGCCUUGUC
rnacentral:sRNA from 1 species